GAGGUGAGGGUUAGGGGUUAGGGUUACAGGUUGAGGUGAGGGUUAGGGGUUAGGGUUACAGGUUGAGGUGAGGGUUAGGGGUUAGGGUUAGGGUUACAGGUUGAGGUGAGGGUUAGGGGUUAGGGUUAGGGUUACAGGUUGAGGUGAGGGUUAGGGGUUAGGGUUAGGGUUAGGAGUUAGGGUUACAGGUUGAGGUGAGGGUUAGGGGUUAGGGUUACAUGUUGCUGUGAAGGUUAGGGGUUAGGGUUACAGGUUGAGGUGAGGGUUGGGGGUUAGGGUUAGGAGUUAGGGUUAGGGUUACAGGUUGAGGUGAGGGUUAGGAGUUAGGGUUAGGAGUUAGGGUUAGCGUUACAGGUUGAGGUGAGGGUUAGGGGUUAGGGUUCGGGUUAGGAGUUAGGGUUAGGGGUUAGGGUUAGGGUUAGGAGUUAGGGUUAGGGAUAUGGGUUAGGAUUAG
ensembl:lncRNA